GAAAUUUAAAAACGAGUCGCUUAGG
rnacentral:piRNA from 1 species